rnacentral:rRNA from 1 species
UACGUAGGUGGCAAGCGUUGUCCGGAAUCAUUGGGCGUAAAGAGCGUGUAGGCGGCUUGGCAAGUCCGCUGUGAAAGUCCAGGGCUCAACCCUGGAAUGCCGGUGGAAACUGUCAAGCUUGAGUCCGGAAGAGGCGAGUGGAAUUCCUGGUGUAGCGGUGAAAUGCGCAGAUAUCAGGAGGAACACCGGUGGCGAAGGCGGGUCUCUGGGCCGUAACUGACGCUGAGGAGCGAAAGCGUGGGGAGCGAACAGG